rnacentral:rRNA from 1 species
GACGAACCGUGCAAACGUUGUUCGGAAUCACUGGGCUUAAAGGGCGCGUAGGCGGGUGGUCAAGUCAGGUGUGAAAUCCUCCAGCUCAACUGGAGAACAGCUUCUGAUACUGGCCAUCUUGAGGGGGGUAGGGGCAUGUGGAACUUCCGGUGGAGCGGUGAAAUGCGUAGAUAUCGGAAGGAACGCCGGUGGCGAAAGCGACACGCUGGACCUUUUCUGACGCUGAGGCGCGAAAGCCAGGGGAGCAAACGGG